AUAAUAGGCAAACCUGUUGAAAAACAGGGACGCAAAGCUCAGGUAUCUGAAGCGUUUUACCAACGUAUGAUCGACCGGCUGC
rnacentral:ncRNA from 1 species